rnacentral:lncRNA from 1 species
GAGCUUCCUGGUCCCGCUGACCGGGCUAGCACCCCUCCUCCUGGCCGCUUCUGCCUGUAUCAGGAGGCCUUCCGUGCCGGACUCCGGCUUCCGCUUCCGCCCAUUGUCGUCGCCCUUUUUCAUUUUUUAGACAUUUCUUUAGCUUCAGUUGCGCCGAACUCUUUUAGGUUUUUGAUAAGAUUCCUCUCCCUUUGUCAUGUAGUCGAGG